CCUACGGGAGGCAGCAGUGGGGAAUAUUGCACAAUGGGGGGAACCCUGAUGCAGCGACGCCGCGUGGGUGAAGGCGUAUUUCGGUAUGUAAAGCCCUAUCAGCAGGGAAGAACAAUGACGGUACCUGACUAAGCAGCACCGGCUAAAUACGUGCCAGCAGCCGCGGUAAUACGUAUGGUGCAAGCGUUAUCCGGGUUUACUGGGGGUAAAGGGAGCGCUGGCGGCGCGUUAAGCCUGGUGUGAAAGCCCGCGGCCCAACCGCGGUACUGCAUUGGGAACUGGCGCGCUGGAGUGGCGGAGGGGUAGGCGGAAUGCCGGGUGUAGCGGUGAAAUGCGUAGAUAUGAGGAGGAACACCAGUGGCGAAGGCGGCCUACUGGACGGUGACUGACGCUGAGGCACGAAAGCGUGGGGAUCGAACAGGAUUAGAUACCCCAGUAGUC
rnacentral:rRNA from 1 species